rnacentral:tRNA from 1 species
GAUUAAAUGGCUGAAGUUUAGGCGAUAGAUUGUAAAUCUAUUUAUGGAGAAUAUCUUCUUUAAUCA